GCUUCAGUCAUUGGGGAGUAGCCAGUUCCAGAGGACUUCUGGAAAAUUCGUAUCAACAUACUCGUUUAAAAUAAAACGUGGUACGAAUGCCUAAUCAUCUAAUAAAUUUGAUUUUUUAUAUCAUGCAAACCUCAGGU
rnacentral:sRNA from 2 species